CUGCAGUCGGACGGUAGCACAGAGAGCUUGCUCUUGGGUGACGAGUGGCGGACGGGUGAGUAAUGUCUGGGGAUCUGCCCGAUAGAGGGGGAUAACCACUGGAAACGGUGGCUAAUACCGCAUAACGUCGCAAGACCAAAGAGGGGGACCUUCGGGCCUCUCACUAUCGGAUGAACCCAGAUGGGAUUAGCUAGUAGGCGGGGUAAUGGCCCACCUAGGCGACGAUCCCUAGCUGGUCUGAGAGGAUGACCAGCCACACUGGAACUGAGACACGGUCCAGACUCCUACGGGAGGCAGCAGUGGGGAAUAUUGCACAAUGGGCGCAAGCCUGAUGCAGCCAUGCCGCGUGUAUGAAGAAGGCCUUCGGGUUGUAAAGUACUUUCAGCGGGGAGGAAGGCGGUGAGGUUAAUAACCUUGCCGAUUGACGUUACCCGCAGAAGAAGCACCGGCUAACUCCGUGCCAGCAGCCGCGGUAAUACGGAGGGUGCAAGCGUUAAUCGGAAUUACUGGGCGUAAAGCGCACGCAGGCGGUCUGUUAAGUCAGAUGUGAAAUCCCCGGGCUUAACCUGGGAACUGCAUUUGAAACUGGCAGGCUUGAGUCUCGUAGAGGGGGGUAGAAUUCCAGGUGUAGCGGUGAAAUGCGUAGAGAUCUGGAGGAAUACCGGUGGCGAAGGCGGCCCCCUGGACGAAUACUGACUCUCAAGUGCGAAAGCGUGGGGAGCAAACAGGAUUAAAUACCCUGGUAGUCCCCGCCGUAAACGAUGUCGACUUGGAGGUUGUUCCCUUGAGGAGUGGCUUCCCGAGCUAACGCGUUAAGUCCACCGCCUGGGGAGUACCGCCGCAAGGUUUA
rnacentral:rRNA from 1 species